CCUUUGCCAGCGGCAACUAAAAUCGACUACCGGCAAAGGGUUCAAAAAAACCCUCACCCCCUCAUUUGACCAUCUCUCUCUCUCUCUCUCUCUCUCUCUCUCUCUCUCUCCCGCCUUCCAGGGUUUCUUGUGAUGAGCGAGGGUGUUCUAUUCCUGUGAUGCAUUCAGAAGCUUGAGGAUAUCUGGAUCUAGUUCAACCUUUUCUCCUUAUUUUGCUGGUUUUUGCUCUCGAUCGAGAGGUUUUUGGUGGGAGGUAGGGCGGAUUCGGAUCUCAAGGGUUUCCUAGGUUGCAUCCAUGCCGACGCUCGUCAAUUACGGAGGUAGGAUUCGUGAUCUUUGCUACUUGAGGUUGUUUUCGGCAGAUUUUUGAUUUGUUGGGAGAGGGAGUUUGGAAUAGCUCUAAAUUGGGAUUUUUAAUGGCUUAGAUCCGGAGCUAGAUGUUUCGAGUUGAAGGGAAAUGGACAUGUUUGGAAAUUUAGGAAUUCUGGUGUUGGCUAUAAAAUUCAGAUUCUAAAGCUGUAGAUUAGGCCUGGUUAGUGUUUAUUUAUUUAUUUAUUAUUAUUAUUUUUAAGCUGUUUGCUUUUUAGAUCUGGAUCUACUCAAUGGUUAUAUUAUAAGGUUUUUCUUUUGAUUUAUGUCUACUGGUAAAAAUUAGGGUUUUCUACCAUCUUAUGAGAAAUUUGGUAGCUUUGAUUUGGUUUCCAUGGAUGUUUAGGGAUUUGUAUGAUUUAGUUUGUUGAUUGUUUUUGGGUAUUAAUUUGAAAUUUAUGAAAAAUUUGCCUUUACUUUC